CCUGUGUAGGUUCGGACCUGAGGAACCGAGGACCCUAGCAGUGAGAUAGCUGCUUCAGUGUCUUUUCAGAGCUAGCCUGAGGUGAGUAGAAUGGAUCUUUACGUUUCAAAGCAAAUAAAUUUAGAGCAUGUUCAUGCAUCACAAAUGCCAUGUGAUAUAUUAGGUUGUUUGCAUUAGAAUUCACGAAUAUGUUGCAUUGCAUAAUAUAAUGUUGAUGUGGAUGGGUGUUGAAUGAUCCAUUAGCCCUCGUAUGAUGACAUGAUAUGAUAUGAUAUGGUAUGG
rnacentral:lncRNA from 1 species